UCCAACCCGAGACCUAACUGAGAUGACCCAAAUUGAAAUCGAACUGGUAAUGAAUUGACCCGAACUGGAAUGACCCGAGUCAAAGUCUACCCGACCCAAAGUUACCCGACCCGGGUUUCACCCGACAAAACCCGUUUAGAACCCGACACGGGAUCACCGGGACCAUUUUUUACCCGAACCGAACUUGACCCGACUUGAAAUUUACCCGAACCCGACAACAAUUGACCUGAAAUUGACCCGAACUGAAUAGACCCGAUCCAAACCCGAUCUGAUCCUGAUAACUUUUGACCCGAACUUGACCCGAACCGGAUAGACCCGAACUGUCAUGGAUCAACCCACAACCCAUCCGGUAACCCGAUUUGACACCUCUAAUUCCACCUAUACUUCACUUCUCUUUCGCUUCUGUUUUUCUGAUUCUAAGGGGAAAAAUGAAAAAACUUAUAAUAAUAAUAUAUGUUUCGUGUUUAAUUAUAAUUGAUCAUCAUGGGCAUGACUAUUGGGCGAUCUAGUCGGGAAAAAAAAAAAGUGCUCAUCCAAUAAAUCAAUCUCCUUUAAUUCUCUUUUCUAUUUUCAAAGAUUUUAUUUUCCAAUAGAAGUGUUAAUUGUGAUAAUUAUUCCUCUCCUAGAAAUCCUCCGAUCAUUUGAUUUUCUUGACUUAAUUGCUUCCCUCCGUUUUUGUCGAGAAAGUGGAAAGGUAAAGUUGUGAAGGUUGCCCAAGAGUCUAUACAUGUGUGUUGUUCUUGGAUUUAAUUUUCAGCUGCCAUUAUAACACAGGAAGACAUUCGUGAUGAGUUUAAAUUUAAGAUUAAAAGCGGGGAAGAAAUGUUGCGGAGCUCAUCACAUAAGAGGCAUAUAAUUAAAGUUGGAACGCUUCUUAGUCAAGAGGCAUAUAAUUAAAGUUGGUACGCUUCUUAGUCAAGAGGUGAGACAUUAUUCUUUUGGCCACUCAAAAGAUAAACUAGUACUAAAGUGAUAACUUGUUUUCAAAUCUAUACUCAAACAUUGUUGUGAGGCCGGCAGCUAUGUGAUGGAAGUUAGUAUAUUACUGCUACUAAGCUACCUUAACUGCCUGUAUUAUACAGAAAAAACGAAUGAAAGUAGCUGUCUAUACUAUCUCAAAGUUAAGCAGAAUGAUAUUGUCCAUAAACUUGUAUCGUUACCUUAAUUGUUUCUGAGCUGACCUUUACUGACCUAAAAAGUUUAGCUGAUACUUAUUAAAACGAGUUUUCCCAUGGAUGCACGAAGAUGAAUUUGGAUGCGGGUAAUGGUACUACAAAGAUUGGGGAUCAUGACAAAUUGCAACCUAAAAAUAUUGACACAUCACACAUGCAUAUUAAGUAUAUGCAAAACUUACUUUCUUAAUCUUGCAGAACAUUUUUUAAUCCAUUACAUUGGUGUUCAAUGUCCUUGAUUCUACCGAGUACUGGAAGCAUUCACUGGCAAGCAUCUUUAACCAACAGGCAACAGGCAACAGGCAACAGGCAACAGUUCCAGGAAGCGGAGAGGAAAUGAAGGAAUAAAGGAGUUGAGUACUGGAACAAUUGACGGAGUUGCAAUUUCUAAUGAUUAUCAUGUGUUGAAGAAAUCAAAGAAACAAAGAGUUCGUUAAGGAUCCUAAUGGAUGCAUUAGCCAUUAGGGUUUAAAUUAAAGAUUCCAACAAGUUCAUGAUUGGUAACACUAACACAGUCAUGUAUUCCAAGUAGGCAGGAAACGAGUUCAAGGGUAAAGAUGCAUCUGACUACAUAAUGCUUAGGGCGUCUGACGUUAUGGCUGUAUAAUCGCCGUAUCCUGAAACUAUGUAAAAGGAAUGUGUUUUAGGUCGUAAUGAUUUUUGUAGCAACAUGAGUAUUGAGUCUGGAAGUUUUCUGGAAGUGUUCAUAUAGCUUGCAAUUUUGAUUGUUGCUAGCUUUAUGUAUUCUCGGGCCUGAAAAUUGGGUCAUUUGAAACACGGAACACGGGUUCUAAAUUUGAGGGCUGGGCUCAAAGUCAUGAUGAGUAGGCAGUAGUCAUGCAUUUGUUUAGUAUAUGAGCAUUAGAAUCCCUGUAGAGAUGGACGUACACAGCCAUGGGGCGUUCGCAGGGUUAGGGCUUAGGUUUAUGGAACCAGCACCUCAUCAAAACUAGACCUGUGAGGCCAUGUUUAAGGAAUUUUAACAUGUCCGGGGUAAUUCUUGUUCAAGGCCCAGAAUUUUUGAGCUCGGGUCGAACCUACAUGUGAGAUUUUAAAAUGCAGAUUUUCAUGGGGACUCUUAUUAUCUUGUACAUUUGUAUAUUCCACGCUAUCUUUUCAUUAUUGUUUAGUAAAUAAAUUAUUGUCAAGAUUACUUUUGAUUUAAACAAUUUAGUUCUUCACACUUAAAAUUAAUUUAAGACCUCUAGACAUUUUUUUUAAGAUAAUAAGACCUCUACAUUUAGAUAUAAUGUAAUGAAAUUUUUUAGUCUAACUACCAGGCUUAGGUAUGGAGGUAACGGCUUUAGAAUUUGGAACAAGGUGUUUUUUUGGGCGGGCUUUGUUCCCUGCUACUUCGUUUGAUUUAAUUCGGCCAAGUGGUACCUCUUUUGCUACAAAUUUUAUGUAAGACGGUCUUACACAAAAGACCAUUUUGGUGUCAUAUAAGUUAAGCAAUGGUAUAAAUUAGUUAAAUAAUGUAACUAUUAGUUAAGCAAUGAAACCAAUUAGUUAAGCAAUGAAACUAAUUAGUUAAGCAAUCAAACCGAUCUUUUUGGUAAGACGGUCUUACACAAAAGUUGUCCCUCUUUUGCACAUUUUGUGGAUGUUGUAGUUUAUUAAUAUAUUCUCAAAUCUAAACGUUUAUGUUAAAAAAAACAUUUAGAUAUAAUGUUAUUUUAUUAUUUUAUCACCUUGAGCCUUAAGUUGAGUCUUAAUUUUAGAUUUUGUCAAGACUUGCCACUUCAACGUUGUAAAUUAUGUUGUCUUGUCUUAAGAUUACGCGGGACAUAUGCCAUGUUAGCAAAAUCUAAGUUUUAAGACUUAUGGUUGAUCUUGCUCUAACAUAUUUUCGUACACAAGUUUAUAUUUAGUCAAAUUCAAUCAUUAAAUGAUGUAUAAA